CAGCUGGAGUGGAAAAGAUCAAUUAACCAGCCUCUUAUCAGAGUAAUGCUGCCUGUGCUGCUCAGAGCUGCUCUGCUGGCCAUGGGGGCCCCUGAACAUCAAUGAUGUCGCUCACCACUCCAGUGUCUCUGCCCCACAUUCUCUGAGCAGGUGCUGGUUCCUCUGACGUCCGGCAUUCCACUAGGAGUAAAACCACCAUCAGAACAUGGGCAUAGCCAUUCAGAGCCAGCAUCUCUACUCAGUUUCACCACAGUUGGCAGGAAUCUAUGGCCCAUACGUUGAAGCAGACAAGGGGGUCGGCACCACCAUGUUGAGUGAUGGACAUGUGACAAAAUUACCGUAUUUACUGAGGGACAUUGGGGGAGGAGGGGUUUGUCAUUCAGUGACUUCAUUUUUUGAAAAAUUACCACGGACCUCAACGUUUUUACCACGGACACUUGUAUCCAUGUACGGAGACCUUGCUGACCCCUGUUUUUUUGUAAUACACAGAUUUUAUGCUUGAAGCAUUGCCUCUUGGAGGUGCACAUAGGUGGUCUGUAGUUUUCCCAGAUUACUGACUGGGGCUUGAGCUGAUUCUAUUUUGUAUAGUAAAGAGGACCCCCUAGAUAUGAACCCGGCCCUUCUUGCUGCUGACACCACUUGGUAGAAGUUUUAAAUGUCCCAAGCAAUGUGGCUUCCAUCACUUCUCUAGUAAGGUUUCACUGAGUGAAACACAGGUUGUUUUCCAUAAUGGGCAGCCUAAAUUCUCCCUGUCUUAAUUCCAUCCUGUUAUUCCCAUUCAUUGCCCACUGAUCACCCCAAAUACUUCACAUUCCUUACUUCUUACACCCUUUAAGUGUUUGCAGACAUUAUCAUUUAAUGCCUUGGUUAUCUCUUAGUCAAGAUAUACUGUACAUAGUUACCUCCUUAAUCAUUUUUUAAAAGUCAGUCCUGCCAGACUCUCUUCUUCUGCAAUGUUAAGAGGAAUAACUAAUAAUCGUUACCUGUCUUUUAGAAAUAGCUAUGAUAGAUCAAUAGAUGAAACAGAGUGCAGCUUAGUAGUUUGUAAAGCACUUUGAGAAGGAAGAGGCUUAGAAAUGCAAAGUAUUAAUCUCCUACAGAAUGCAUGGAAUGCUACUUCUUCAGCUGUGAUUUGAUGUAGCAGGGCUUAGUGCUGGCUAUACCAUAUUUUGCUAUAAUAAAUGCACGCCAUCAAAAAUUGGAUCUAAAAUA